rnacentral:rRNA from 1 species
AUUGAACGCUGGCGGCAGGCCUAACACAUGCAAGUCGAGCGAGCGGCGGACGGGUGAGUAAUGUCUGGGAAACUGCCUGAUGGAGUGGGAUAACUACUGGAAAAGGUAGCUAAUACCGCAUACCAUCAGAUGUGCCCAGAUGGGGUUGGCUAGUAGGUGGGGUAACGGCUCACCUAGGCGACGAUCCCUAGCUGGUCUGAGAGGAUGACCAGCCACACUGGAACUGUGACACGGUCCAAAAUCCUACGGGAGGCAGCAGUGGGGAAUAUUGCACAAUGGGCGCAAGCCGGAUGCAGCCAUGCGGCGUGUAUGAAGAAGGCCUUCGGGUUGUAAAGUACUUUCAGCGGGGAGGCGUUACCCGCAGAAGAAGCACCGGCUAACUCCGUGCCAGCAGCCGCGGUAAUAC